AUUGAACGCUGGCGGCAGGCCUAAAACAUGCAAGUCGAACGACUGGCGGACGGGUGAGUAAUGUCUGGGAAACUGCCUGAUGGAGGGGGAUAACUACUGGCACCGGUAGCUAAUACCGCAUACCAUCGGAUGUGCCCAGAUGGGAUUAGCUAGUAGGUGGGGUAACGGUUUACCUAGGAGACGAUCCCUAGCUGGUCUGAGAGGAUGACAGGCCACACUAGAACUGAGGCACGGUCCAGACUCCACCGGGAGGAAGCAGUGGGGAAUAUUGGGCAAUGGGCGCAAGCCUGAUGCAGCCAUGCCGCGUGUAUGAAGAAGGCCUUCGGAUUGUAAAGUACUUUCAGCGAGGAGGCGUUACCCGCAGAAGAAGCACCGGCUAAAUCCGUGCCAGCAGCCGCGGUAAUAC
rnacentral:rRNA from 1 species